UCGACCGUCGCUUGGCUUCUCGGAUAAGGACCUGGCCGGCUGGCCGCCGGAAGCAGGGCAGCAGGCCGCCCGGCACGGACCAGCAGUGCCGCGUGGUCGCGGUCACCAGGCCGCGGCAGGGAGGCACCAAUCGCCGGGGCCACUACCGUCGCCACGGUUCGCCGGCUGCGCUGCCAUCGUAGAUGUGCGCCGCACGCAGCCUGCCACCGCCGUCGCUCGGCCGCCUGCCGCGGUUGCCCCCUGGGAGCGCCACCGCCGGCCAUGCCGCGUACCGUCGCCGCCCCUUGGGCACCCCACCGCCGGCCCAUGUGCCGCCCACGCCGGUGCUGAGCGCCGCCGGCGCCGCCGCCGGAGUCGUGCGGCUCCGCGAAGAGCCGGCGCCGAUGUGCCAUCUCCGGCACUGCAGCACCGCCUUCUUUUCUCCUCCCUUGCAUGCCGUCUGCGCCCGCCCCCAUGUGCCAGCCAAGGGCCGGUCGCCGGCCACCACCGGCCGAAAGAGGGCCCCUGCGUGGAGCACCGCCGACGUGCGUCAUUUGCCCGAUGGGCCGCCGCUGCCUCCAUGCGCCGGCCGUCGGCCGGUCAGAUGUGGGAGGAGAGCCCCAUCUGAUGGCGUGGUUGUCGGAAGAUGCGGCACCAAUGGUGGUGUCGCCAUCCUGGUGCGCUCUAUCCGCUGAUGGCGGCCAAGAGGGUGGGUGCCGUCGUCCUGAAGAACAGCGGUGUCCCUUUCCUUUACUGUCUUUUCAGUGUACUUUUCAAGUUCCGGUGGACGGCAAACAAUCCGAUGAAAAAGACAACCAGAGAAAUCUUCAAUGUAAUUUUAUUUUCGUUAUAUCUUUUAUCAGACUGACCUGCUUUUGUGCUACCAGUUGUUUUCCUUGAUAUGAAUAAAAUAUGAGGCACAUUUAUGAUGU